AUGCUCUGGACACCAAGCAAGCCAGGACCACCACUCAAAUCAUGGGUGCAUGAUGCCCGUGAUGGUACUCCAGAUGAUCUGAAGAUGUUGGAGCUGUUUUAUCAUCAGACUCUUUGAGGGCCCAGAGGCAGAGACGUAAACAAGAGCAACUGAUCAAGAGAUAGGACGGUUGUCUCUCAGACUGGGACAGAUAAGUUCUACUGAGCCUCCAGAGGGGCAAAGGCUAUUCUGACUGGCACAAUAAGGCAGAUGGAGACACAGGUAGUGCCCAAAUGGAGAUGCAGGGAAACCCUGAAGACCAGACAAAGGCCCUAACAGAGACCAAGCCACUUGCUGCUUGUCUGAUCUGCAUUUGAUUAAACUUUAAACACGGACACAACAGUGUGCCUGCUCCAAAUGAACAGCAAUAACUUGGUGCACAUCUGACAUCCUCUUGGCUAUUUAAGUAUCACUGAAUUUGAACAUCCUGUCAACAUAUUUUGACGUUCACUAUGAUUUUACCUAUAUUAUCUGUCAAGAACAUAAUCAUGAACCUGGGUUCCAUGUGAAUUCUUGUACUUUCAUUGUAUGACUACUUAUGUGUAGCAGGCAAGUGUGCAUCUUCAGACACAGGGCAAGAUAGGGAUAGCGAAGGACAUAACUACCAUCUGACAUCUAGAGUCCCCUUCACACAAGAAACACAUUCAUUUUACUCUACGUUGAGACAGAUCAGAAUUUACAUUUGCAAUAAAAUAUCUCCAAGCGAGGUUUAAUGUGGCUGG
ensembl:lncRNA